AAAAAAAAAAGGCGUCAUAUGUGUUUUAUUGCCAUGUUGUCUAAAAGUUACAACCAAUCAAAUACAAACUAUUUUUUUUCCCUUAAAGAAGCGGUUGUGCUUGACUUUUCUACAGCAAAUCUCUCCCUUAACUUUCUCUAAAUAUGCAUGCAUCAAAUAGACUACCAUUUAUAUCCAGUGUCAAAGUAGAAUUCUUAUCCAGUCAUGCACCUUCAACUGAAAAGAACGAAGGCAUGACUGUAUGCUUCCAAUCAACCUUACACAUGAUGUUGAACCCACAUUCGAGAAUCUAUGGUAGAAACCUAUGGCAAUUUGAGAUGGUAAUUUGAGGGACCAAAUUAAGCGCAGAACACAACCAGUGAAAUAAGCAGGAUGGUAAAAGAUUAAAGUUAUGAAACCAAAAUGAAAUUCAAUGAUAAGUUUUAAUUGAAUCUCAAUUGUACGAAAAACCUAUGCCAAAAUAUGAUUUGAAUUUCUACACUAUUAAUGGCACAUGAAGCCGCCCUAAGAUUCUAGCAAUUUAAUUUCAUUUUAUUGAAUAUAAGUCAAAAUAAAACAAGACAUAUUCA
rnacentral:misc_RNA from 1 species